GCUGACAAUUCUUAACUUCGGAGGGUAACGAAGACUGGGCAGGCCCGCGUAGAAAGACGUCUUCCCGGGAAGAGGUGGAGGGUGUCCCCAGCACGGGAAAUCUCUUUGCGGAGCCUCCUGACGCAACGUGUAAGACAGGACAGUUAUGGAUUGAGACAAGACCGCGGCGCCAGCUGUACGGGUGAGCUCGGGUUGGGCAUUCACCGCUCGUCCCUGGAAACGCUGCGUCACGUGUCACAUCCUGCCCCUCUCCUAUAGGAGGCAGUGUGGGCGGGGGAGGGCGUGUCUGUGGCAGUCACGCCCCUCCUCCCGGUCAAGUUCAGGUUAUUUUUGUUGAAAGUUUUUACUGGGCGUGCAUCCUCACCUCAGGGAGUCGCAGCGCUCGCUGUGAACACAAAGGGCAUCACCCGAGCAGGUCUGCAGAGCGGCGUGGUUCAUGGGCAACCAAGGUGCCUCGAAAAGAUGAAGUUGUGUCGCCUGGAACUGAGCCCUGGCCCCUGCUCGGCUUGGAAUGAGCAUGGAAAUGGCAGAGUUCUUAUCCCAGAUCAGCUCCCAGCUUUCCAGCCCCCACCCCAUCACGAAAGGUACCAGCCUGUCAUCAUGAAACCACUAAGGCUCGGGGACGCAGGUCUGGCCCACGCAUCCAGUCAGGAGCUAGCUGGGAUCUUCUCACAGGUUGAUUGAUGGUGUCUUUGGGCUCUCUGUUCUGUUUCACUGGACUCUUGACUUCUGCCAGUGCCACAGUGCCUUGGUGACUGAAAUCUUCAUAGUAACUUUUUUAAACGUCCUAUAUUGAUAUUUACUUAGUUUACGUUUACAAAGUGUCUUUCCUGAAUAUGAUUUUAAAUGCUGCACGCAUGCAGUACCCAUGGAGGCCAGAAGAGGGCGCUGGAUCCCCCACGGAACUGGAGAUACGGAAGGUUGUGAGCCAUCUUGUGGGUGCUGGGCAUUGGACCCAGCUCCUGUGCAAGAGCAGCCCGGGGCUCAUAGCCAGUGAGCCAUCUCUCCAACCACCUCAUUCCACCAUACUCCUUCCUGUUCUUUCUUUUUUUCUUGCUUCUUUGUAACCCACCGCAAUACAUAAAACAAUAGCUGCAAUAAU